rnacentral:rRNA from 1 species
GAUGAACGCUGGCGGCGUGCCUAAUACAUGCAAGUCGAGCGAACAGAUGAGGAGCUUGCUCCUCUGACGUUAGCGGCGGACGGGUGAGUAACACGUGGAUAACCUACCUAUAAGACUGGGAUAACUUCGGGAAACCGGAGCUAAUACCGGAUAAUAUAUUGAACCGCAUGGUUCAAUAGUGAAAGACGGUUUUGCUGUCACUUAUAGAUGGAUCCGCGCCGCAUUAGCUAGUUGGUAAGGUAACGGCUUACCAAGGCAACGAUGCGUAGCCGACCUGAGAGGGUGAUCGGCCACACUGGAACUGAGACACGGUCCAGACUCCUACGGGAGGCAGCAGUAGAGAAUCUUCCGCAAUGGGCGAAAGCUUGACGGAGCAACGCCGCGUGAGUGAUGAAGGUCUUCGGAUCGUAAAACUCUGUUAUUAGGGAAGAACAAAUGUGUAAGUAACUAUGCACGUCUUGACGGUACCUAAUCAGAAAGCCACGGCUAACUACGUG